rnacentral:lncRNA from 1 species
CCCGCAGCCCGCGGCCUCCAGGCGGGACGUCGACCGGGCCGCGGGGCGCAGAGCGAGCCAGGUGGCAGCUUGGUCCCCAGGGCCCUUCAAGGCCAGAGAGAGGAAGUCCAGCUCCCUCGCCAGCGAGGACGCCGACGCGGAGGCGGGCGGCUGGCGGAGGAGAGUGCGGAGGAGCACCUACGUCGGGCGCGAGGCCGAGGGCUGGGCUGGCAAAGCGCGGGAAACGGCCGGGUCCGUGUCCAGAGGAGAGCGCGAGAGCCACCGGCAGAGCGUGGCGCCCGACGGGACCCUGCUGCCCCCGCGCGCGAUGCCCAAGUCCAUCGAGGAGAUCAUCGCCUCGCUGCAGUCCGAGGCCCAGCUGGCCUCCGACCAGAUCAUCAAAGAGCUCAUAGAGAGCGUCCUCGGCCAGAACUACGACAUUAAAGUGGAAGAUAUUUCUUUACUGGGACAAAUGCACGUCAGAUCAGCUGAGAUACAAGCAGAAACACCUCAGAUACAAGUAGAACAAGGAUUACCGAUAAGUGUUGAGGAGCCUCAAGUGAAUAUGCUUAAGGAGCUUCCUGAAGCCACGUCAAGUGUGUUCCAGAUUGAACAAGAGGAUAUAGAAUGGGAAGCCUCAGAAGCAGAAGGCAUAGUAUUGAAACCUCAGGAAAUUUUGGAAGUUCAGCCAGCAGUGGAAUUAAGUAAACCUUUGGAAGAUGGACAGCCCAAAAGUGAUGCAAAAGCUGCCAAGCACGUGACUUUAAAGGUGAAAUCAUUAGAAUUCUUGGAAAUAAAAGGAAAAGAAGUUAAGCGAAUACGAAAAGCUGUAUCAGGGAUUUCACCACCGAGACCAAGAAAGUGUUUAAAACCCCCUUGGGAUCCAAAACUAAAUAAUAAAAUUCCAUACAACUACUCCACUCCUAACCUUCAUGAUCUGUGCACCACUAUCCCAUCCCGGGAAUUGCCCAUUGACUUGCGCCUGGCUUCUCGAGUGUAUCACACUGCUGAUAAGAAAGGCCACGAUACCCUACUUGGAGUAUUUGGAACAUCUUUCAUAAAUGAUCGCUUUUCAGAUGAAGAGCAAAAGGAUAGAAUACUGCAUGGAAUUCCUGUUGUGGCUAACAAGCAAGAAUAUGUUCAUGUUCCUCCAAUACUACCAGGAAUACCACCUGAAUUGGUACAAAGAACUGGAAAGCAUGCUCGCAGACCACCACACUUGCAAGUUUGGGGAGAGGAAAUGUAUGCUUAUCCAGGAUGUACGAAGUUGUUUUGGAAUACAACUGCUCCUAAAUUCUCUCUUCCAGAAACUGUCAUGAAGGAAACCGUAUAUCCAAAAUAUGAGGUAACAUACUGAAUGAGUUUUCUCUAUUAUUGUUAUUAUCAUUUAAUAAUUAAAUUGUAUAAUUGAUUAUGAAAUUCAAUUUUACUGGACAGCUGUUAUGAAGAUUGUCAGGCAACUAUUUCAAUAAUCAGGAUUGAUUGGAUGGCAC